UCUGGAUAAUGUAAUUUUCUGUUUAACUGAGUUCUUAAAAUUUAAGCAUUUAAUAAAAUGGAUGGUAAACCUGUUAAUUUAAUGUUCAAUUGAUCCUGACCCAGAUCUUGGAUGAUCUCUGAUAAGUAUUUGUGAUUAUUAUAGCACUAGAUGGCUGGCAAAGAUAUGAGAUUAUAGUGACUAUCCUAGAAACAUAUCCUGAACAUCUGCUUGUUGAGAGCAAUGGAUUUGUCUUUGUGGUUUUUUAAACAUUUUUAUUAGUUGUUGAUGGGCCUUUAUUUUAUUUAUUUAUAUUCAGUGCUGAGAAUCGAACCCACUGCCUCACACAUGCUAGGCAAGUGCUUGCUCCACCACUGAGCCACAACCCCAGCCCUUUUGUACUUUUUUUAACAGAUAUUUUCAUCAGCUUAUUUUUCCUCAUUUUCCCUUUCCUAAAAGCAGAGUUUUUGAUUGUUUUGUUGCAAAUUACUUGAGAUCUUGCAGGGUGUGGCUUCUGGGUUCUUCAGGGAAGGAAUUCCUGUUUUAAUUGUUAAACCACACUUCAAAGGUAAUGUAAAGAAUCUGCUGAAUUAUUUAUGAAUGUUAAGACUCAUUACACUUUAAUGUUUCAUGAAUAAUUUUACUAUGUUAAUAUUUUGGGCUUUUUUAUUAUAUCUAGUUAAAAAAUCUAAGUUUAGAAGAACUGCAGAUGCGGUUAAAAGCACUGGACCCCAUGAUGGAACGAGAAAUAGAAGAACUUCGUCAAAGAUACACUGCAAAAAGACAGCCUAUUCUGGAUGCAAUGGAUGCAAAGAAAAGAAGGCAGCAAAACUUUUGAGUCUAAUUUCUCUCUGUUUUAUAGCUACUCUACAGACCAAGAAACCACUAAGAAUUAAAAGAAUACUAUGAGGUUUUUUUUAAUCCCUAAGAUUUAUGCUCUACAGCUAGGCAAAGAUCAAAAACUAAUGAUGGCACAUAUCUAUGAAAGUUCCCAAAAGACACAAUUUACAAUUGUUUCCACUGUGUUUUCAUUUUUAAACUAUGAGAACAAUAGAAAUGUGUUCUUCUCUCUCUCUCUCUGUCAGCUGAAUACCAGCAAUAAGGCUGUUAUGAAAUGAAGGCUGUAUUUAGAGACCUUGAAGAUCCAAAGCUAUUGUUUAAUUGUAUAGCAAUGAAGGGCUUUAUGUUAUAAUAUUCUUUACCUAGAAGCCUAUUUAUUAUUGUAUCUUCUUAGGUAGACUUAUUUAUUUAUGCUAUUUCACUUAGUUUUGUUUUUAAAAGGCAGGACAGGAUAGUUUUAUGAAGGUUAACAGUGAUAAUGUACAACCAAAUUAUAUUUUAAGCAGGGAGCUAGGGGUACAUACCUUGAUUUCCAGGAUAGUUUUCCAAUAAAAGCAAAGUGUAAUAGCAGUAGUACCCAAAUGGGCUAGGCUUUUUUAUAUUGAAGCAAUAAAUUUUUACUUUUCAAAAUUUUGAUUUUUUGAUUUUUGAUAUUUGGUACAAGUAGAAAUAUAUAUAUAUAUAUAUAUAUAUAUAUAUAUAUAUAUAUAUAUAUAUAUAUAUAUAUAGUCAAACAGACCAAUAAUGUUUAAAACCAAAGAAAUGAAUGAAACUUGCACAAAAGAAAGUAUAGUAAAUAUUUUUAAAUAAAUGAAACCUUAAGACGAAUGUAAUUUGUUAAUAUUGUUUCAUGUUUCUUGUAUAGGUCUCUUAGCUAAACUGAAUCAAACUGUAAUAAGCUCAUCAACCUUAUUUCUGUGAAAGUGUGCUCUGUAUAGUCACAGGGCUUGUUGUUGAUUUCAUUUAUUUCCUGGAAUUGGUAAACAUCAUGUGCCUGAUGAUAACAAAAUAGCAAAAACAUUUGUACUAAACUGUGCAAGCCUUGGGGACUGGGGGGUGGGGGAAUGGUUAAAAGCAUUAAAAAGAAACUCAUUUCUAAGCUGAAUGAACAUUUGUAUAAUUGAACUGGGACCAGUUGUUUCCUAAGCUACAUAUGGCCAUCUUGACAGUGUUUGUUCUUUUCUGUCUUUAAUUAUUAUGUGUAAGUCAUAAAGAAAAAUAAAUUUUACUGUGUCACCCAGCACAUUUCAUCUCUGUAUCUUUUUUAAAA
rnacentral:lncRNA from 1 species